UCGCACGAGAAAGUGGAGCAUCCAUGAGUACAGUGGCGUACGGGUGAGUAACACGUGGAUCAUCUACCUCUUGAUGGGGAAUAACCCUGGGAAACCGGGGCUAAUACCGCAUAAGCCUGAAAAGGGAAAGCGUCGUCCUCAAAAACGACGCGUCGAGAGAGGAGUCCGCGGCCGAUUAGCUAGUUGGUAGGGUAAAGGCCUACCAAGGCAAUGAUCGGUAGCCGGCCUGAGAGGGCACACGGCCACACUGGCACUGAAACACGGGCCAGACUCCUACGGGAGGCAGCAGUGGGGAAUCUUGCACAAUGGGGGCAACCCUGAUGCAGCGACGCCGCGUGAGCGAUGAAGCCCUUCGGGGUGUAAAGCUCUUUCGGCAGGAACGAUAAUGACGGUACCUGCAGAAGAAGCUGCGGCUAACUACGUGCCAGCAGCCGCGGUAAUACGUAGGCAGCGAGCGUUGUUCGGAGUUACUGGGCGUAAAGAGUGGGUAGGCGGUUCUCUAAGUUCCGUGUGAAAUCUCCCGGCUCAACUGGGAGGGUGCGCGGAAAACUGGAGGGCUUGAGUAUGGGAGAGGAAAGCGGAAUUCCUGGUGUAGCGGUGAAAUGCGUAGAUAUCGGGAGGAACACCUGCGGUGAAGACAGCUUUCUGGACCAUCACUGACGCUGAGACACGAAAGCGUGGGUAGCAAACAGGAUUAGAUACCCUGGUAGUCCACGCCCUAAACGAUGCAUACUUGGUGUGAGCCGUUCAUUCGGUUCGUGCCGGAGCUAACGCGUUAAGUAUGCCGCCUGGGGAGUACGGUCGCAAGGCUGAAAC
rnacentral:rRNA from 1 species